GAGUUUGAUCCUGGCUCAGAACGAACGCUGGCGGCAGGCCUAACACAUGCAAGUCGAGCGCACCUUCGGGUGAGCGGCGGACGGGUUAGUAACGCGUGGGAACGUACCCUUUUCUACGGAAUAGCCUCGGGAAACUGAGAGUAAUACCGUAUAAGCCCUUCGGGGGAAAGAUUUAUCGGGAAAGGAUCGGCCCGCGUUAGAUUAGAUAGUUGGUGGGGUAACGGCCUACCAAGUCUACGAUCUAUAGCUGGUUUUAGAGGAUGAUCAGCAACACUGGGACUGAGACACGGCCCAGACUCCUACGGGAGGCAGCAGUGGGGAAUCUUGGACAAUGGGCGCAAGCCUGAUCCAGCCAUGCCGCGUGAGUGAUGAAGGCCUUAGGGUCGUAAAGCUCUUUCGCCAGGGAUGAUAAUGACAGUACCUGGUAAAGAAACCCCGGCUAACUCCGUGCCAGCAGCCGCGGUAAUACGGAGGGGGUUAGCGUUGUUCGGAAUUACUGGGCGUAAAGCGCACGUAGGCGGAUCAGAAAGUUGGGGGUGAAAUCCCAGGGCUCAACCCUGGAACUGCCUCCAAAACUCCUGGUCUAGAGUUCGAGAGAGGUGAGUGGAAUUCCGAGUGUAGAGGUGAAAUUCGUAGAUAUUCGGAGGAACACCAGUG
rnacentral:rRNA from 1 species